AUGGAUGAUUACAUCCAGAGGCUUCAAGGGUUGGGCUUGCUGGAUUCGAGGGGGAAUGCAAUCCGCGAGUUCAAUCUGCCCCAUGAUAGUGCCACUCUGGCAGCAGCAGCACGUCCGGAAUACCCGACGGUGGUAGGUGUUGAACUGAAGACGGAAUUGAAGAAGAUGAAGAAGAACUUCAAGCAGCUGAUUGAGUUGAAGAAGCAAUCCAAUCUGAUAGCUUUAGGAAUACUUGCUCUAGGAAUUUUUUACUUGAUGGCCAUCUCUCGUUAG
rnacentral:rRNA from 1 species